GAUGAACGCUGGCGGCGUGCCUAAUACAUGCAAGUCGAGCGAACAGACGAGGAGCUUGCUCCUCUGACGUUAGCGGCGGACGGGUGAGUAACACGUGGAUAACCUACCUAUAAGACUGGGAUAACUUCGGGAAACCGGAGCUAAUACCGGAUAAUAUAUUGAACCGCAUGGUUCAAUAGUGAAAGACGGUUUUGCUGUCACUUAUAGAUGGAUCCGCGCCGCAUUAGCUAGUUGGUAAGGUAACGGCUUACCAAGGCGACGAUGCGUAGUCGACCUGAGAGGGUGAUCGGCCACACUGGAACUGAGACACGGUCCAGACUCCUAAGGGAGGCAGCAGUAGGGAAUCUUCCGCAAUGGGCGAAAGCCUGACGGAGCAACGCCGCGUGAGUGAUGAAGGUCUUCGGAUCGUAAAACUCUGUUAUUAGGGAAGAACAAAUGUGUAAGUAACUAUGCACGUCUUGACGGUACCUAAUCAGAAAGCCACGGCUAACUACGUG
rnacentral:rRNA from 1 species